GAUGAACGCUAGCUACAGGCUUAACACAUGCAAGUCGAGGGGCAGCAUGGUCUUAGCUUGCUAAGGCCGAUGGCGACCGGCGCACGGGUGAGUAACACGUAUCCAACCUGCCGUCUACUCUUGGACAGCCUUCUGAAAGGAAGAUUAAUACAAGAUGGCAUCAUGAGUCCACAUGUUCACAUGAUUAAAGGUAUUCCGGUAGACGAUGGGGAUGCGUUCCAUUAGAUAGUAGGCGGGGUAACGGCCCACCUAGUCUUCGAUGGAUAGGGGUUCUGAGAGGAAGGUCCCCCACAUUGGAACUGAGACACGGUCUAAACUCCUACGGGAGGCAGCAGUGAGGAAUAUUGGUCAAUGGGCGAGAGCCUGAACCAGCCAAGUAGCGUGAAGGAUGACUGCCCUAUGGGUUGUAAACUUCUUUUAUAAAGGAAUAAAGUCGGGUAUGGAUACCCGUUUGCAUGUACUUUAUGAAUAAGGAUCGGCUAACUCCGUGCCAGCAGCCGCGGUAAUACGGAGGAUCCGAGCGUUAUCCGGAUUUAUUGGGUUUAAAGGGAGCGUAGAUGGAUGUUUAAGUCAGUUGUGAAAGUUUGCGGCUCAACCGUAAAAUUGCAGUUGAUACUGGAUAUCUUGAGUGCAGUUGAGGCAGGCGGAAUUCGUGGUGUAGCGGUGAAAUGCUUAGAUAUCACGAAGAACUCCGAUUGCGAAGGCAGCCUGCUAAGCUGCAACUGACAUUGAGGCUCGAAAGUGUGGGUAUCAAACAGGAUUAGAUACCCUGGUAGUCCACACGGUAAACGAUGAAUACUCGCUGUUUGCGAUAUACAGCAAGCGGCCAAGCGAAAGCGUUAAGUAUUCCACCUGGGGAGUACGCCGGCAACGGUGAAACUCAAAGGAAUUGACGGGGGCCCGCACAAGCGGAGGAACAUGUGGUUUAAUUCGAUGAUACGCGAGGAACCUUACCCGGGCUUAAAUUGCAGAUGAAUUACGGUGAAAGCCGUAAGCCGCAAGGCAUCUGUGAAGGUGCUGCAUGGUUGUCGUCAGCUCGUGCCGUGAGGUGUCGGCUUAAGUGCCAUAACGAGCGCAACCCUUGUUGUCAGUUACUAACAGGUUCCGCUGAGGACUCUGACAAGACUGCCAUCGUAAGAUGUGAGGAAGGUGGGGAUGACGUCAAAUCAGCACGGCCCUUACGUCCGGGGCUACACACGUGUUACAAUGGGGGGUACAGAGGGCCGCUACCACGCGAGUGGAUGCCAAUCCCAAAAACCUCUCUCAGUUCGGACUGGAGUCUGCAACCCGACUCCACGAAGCUGGAUUCGCUAGUAAUCGCGCAUCAGCCACGGCGCGGUGAAUACGUUCCCGGGCCU
rnacentral:rRNA from 1 species